UCUCUCUCUCUCUCUCUCUCUCUCUCAAGCCCAGACCGCAUAUCUCUAUCUGCUCAGACCUGUCUCUCUCUCACCUGAAACCCGUCUGGAAACGACCCACGCGGCACGCUUGAGAUAGCCAUUUCGUGUAAGGGUACUCAGAUAUUUCAUGCUCGGUUGAAGUCUAUUGUUAAGAAUCCAUUUUACUCCUUGGUCGAUGGAUGCUGUGAAGUACAAAACAUGUGUUUAUUGUGUUUCUAAUUAGGGACUGAAAUCAGGCCAAUAAGCAAACUGAGGAUUUCCCAUAGCUUCUUCCCCCAAUAUUUCUUCAUAAAUAGAUUUAAUCUAAGGAUCUGAUUUUGUAAUUCAUAUUUUGUAUUUUGUAAUGUAAUGUGUAAAUAACAAAAUAAUGUAAUAUUUAGUUGGCUUGCAUGCA